rnacentral:tRNA from 1 species
GGCGUCUUACCCAAGUGGCUAAGGGGAUGGUCUGCAAAACCAUUAUUGGACGGUCCGAUUCCGUCAGACGCCU